CAUGUACAAGUUUCCUAGGCUCUCUCCUUCUGUGAGGGGAUGCACUUGGGCAUGCUACUUUCUCCAGGAAUGAAAAAUGCAGUAAUGUAUGUGGUGUUUCUGCCCCGGAAAGCCCAUUAGUGACUCAGCGUUCAACAUUUUUACCAGGGGCUGGUCACAUCUGCACCCUCUGCCUAGCACACACCAAAAUUCCAAACUCCCAGAAGGCAAGCAGGUAUUCAGCAUAAAUCACAUUGUUUGCACAAACAAUCUACACACAGAGAACCACUCUUAUCAGUUUUGAGAAUGGUGGGAACACCCAGAUACCAGCCAAGGGCCAACCUUACAAAGAGGCCCUUCUAAAGAUAGCAGUCUCAGACCUGCCAUGUUAACUCUUUUCUGUAUGCAGCCCAAAACAGAGAUGAUGAUGAUUAUUUUACACAGAUAAAUUCUGUCUCAGGACUUUGACUUGGGAAAUAAGAACAGCCUCAGCCAGACACAAACAGCUACAAAGACAAGAACAUGGUUGAGUCAUAUCCAUGGCAAUGCUCCAGUGAAGAGGACAAACUCCAGUGUUGUGAUUCAACAAGUACACACCCGCUAUUGUGCAAGAGCCCAACGAGCUUCCAAGAAUCAAGUGAUGAAAGAGAGAGAGAGAGCUGGACAUUUUCAUCAGCCCACUGGCACCACUGCCACUCUUGGUCCUGUUCCAUCUGAUCAUUGCUUGUCCCCUGGUCUGGGUCAUAGUUCCAAGGUUUCAGCUCUUUCAUUUCACAAGCACAGGUCCACCCUCUGAUGCCCAGACAUUUUUUCUGCAAAGGCUUAAAACUAUGCCAGGGUAAAUGUGUUAUCUAGAGGGGUCUCUGUCUUCAACAGACACUAGCCUGAAACCUCUUAGACUGUUGCAUGGAGUCUAGAAUCCCCUGUCCUCCUGUUAAGGUCUGCUUUAGGGUCCGUGCUGGGCUUUCCUGUCAACAGACUCCAGUUCACCCUAACAGUUUCCCUAAUCUACCUCUCAGGGAGCAGGGAGUGGGCAGCCCCAUUCCUUUUGUGGCCUGAUCUCUUUAGGCAAUCAGUCACCCCUUCUCCAGAACUUUGCAGAGCAAGAAAGGGGCUCUCUUCAACAUAUAUGAAAGAUUCUGUUUCCUCUCUCAGGAUAUCAGUGAGUUCUAGUCUCAUCUUUGGUAAUUAAGAGGAGGCCUCUCAAGGGACCUCAUCCAUAGACGUGAAAC
rnacentral:lncRNA from 1 species